UGGGGAAUUUUGGACAAUGGGCGAAAGCCUGAUCCAGCAAUGCCGCGUGUGUGAAGAAGGCCUUCGGGUUGUAAAGCACUUUUGUCCGGAAAGAAAUCCUUGGCUCUAAUACAGUCGGGGGAUGACGGUACCGGAAGAAUAAGCACCGGCUAACUACGUGCCAGCAGCCGCGGUAAUACGUAGGGUGCAAGCGUUAAUCGGAAUUACUGGGCGUAAAGCGUGCGCAGGCGGUUUGCUAAGACCGAUGUGAAAUCCCCGGGCUCAACCUGGGAACUGCAUUGGUGGCUGGCAGGCUAGAGUAUGGCAGAGGGGGGUAGAAUUCCACGUGUAGCAGUGAAAUGCGUAGAGAUGUGGAGGAAUACCGAUGGCGAAGGCAGCCCCCUGGGCCAAUACUGACGCUCAUGCACGAAAGCGUGGGGAGCAAACAGGAUUAGAUACCCUGGUAGUCCACGCCCUAAACGAUGUCAACUAGUUGUUGGGGAUUCAUUUCCUUAGUAACGUAGCUAACGCGUGAAGUUGACCGCCUGGGGAGUACGGUCG
rnacentral:rRNA from 1 species